rnacentral:rRNA from 1 species
GGAGUCUAGCAUGUGCGCGAGUCGUUGGGACAUGACUAAACCUAAAGGCGCAAUGAAAGUGAAGGUCCGCCUCGCGCGGACCGAGGGAGGAUGGGCGUUCGGUCGAGACCGUCGCUCCGCACUCCCGGGGCGUCUCGUUCUCAUUGCGAGAAGAGGCGCACCAAGAGCGUACACGCUGGGACCCGAAAGAUGGUGAACUAUGCCUGGUCAGGACGAAGUCAGGGGAAACCCUGAUGGAGGUCCGUAGCGAUUCUGACGUGCAAAUCGAUCGUCGGAACUGGGUAUAGGGGCGAAAGACUAAUCGAACCAUCUAGUAGCUGGUUCCCUCCGAAGUUUCCCUCAGGAUAGCUGGCGCUCAUAGCGUACGAGUUUCAUCCGGUAAAGCGAAUGAUUAGAGGCAUUGGGGUCGAAACGGCCUCAACCUAUUCUCAAACUUUAAAUGGGUGAGAUCUCCGGCUUGCUCGAACUCAUGAAGCCGCGAGACUCGAAUCAGAGUGCCAAGUGGGCCAUUUUUGGUAAGCAGAACUGGCGCUGUGGGAUGAACCAAACGCCGAGUUAAAGCGCCUAAAUCGACGCUUAUGGGAUACCAUGAAAGGCGUUGGUAACUUAAGACAUCAGGACGGUGGCCAUGGAAGUC